GAGAGGAAUUUCUUGAAGAAAACAUUAUUUUGUGAAAUACGAUAAUUUGGAGAAGUGAAGCGAGAGAGAGAAAAAAAAUCAAUUUUCAAUAAUUCUCAAAUUUUAUUUUAAAUCAUGAGGCCUUAUGGGGUUUUAUUUGUCGUGGCUGCCGUAACAGUUUCCACUUGUCUUGCCGCUGACGCAACCGAUAAUGAUACAAUUUUAAAGAAAAUUGGUGACAUCAUUAUUGCUAUAGGAAAGAGAUUUUUACUAGGAUCUGAAAAUAAAUAAAAUUUAUAAUUUUUCCUAAUGAAAUGUUAAAUAAAAUUGAAAAGUAAAAACAAA